UGAAUACGAGGCACUAAGGUGCUGAAGUAGUGUAUGUCAUACUUCCAAGAAAAGCUUGCACUAUCGUAAGAUAAAAAUGCCUGUACCAUAACCGACACAGGUGGGUAGGUAGAGUAUACUAAGGGGCGCGAGAUAACUCUCUCUAAGGAACUCGGCAAAAUAACUCCGUAACUUCGGGAGAAGGAGUGCCUUAUUCUAUAAGGUUGCAAUAACAAGAUCCAAGCAACUGUUUAUCAAAAACACAGGUCUCCGCUAAGUCGUAAGACGAUGUAUGGGGGCUGACGCCUGCCCAGUGCCAGAAGGUUAAAGAAGUCGGUUAGCAAUUGCGAAGCUGGUAACUGAAGCCCUGGUGAACGGCGGCCGUAACGAUAACGGUCCUAAGGUAGCGAAAUUCCUUGUCGGGUAAGUUCCGACCCGCACGAAAGGCGUAAUGAUUUGGAUACUGUCUCGGAGAGGGACUCGGUGAAAUAGACUUGUCUGUGAAGAUGCGGACUACCUGCACCAGGACAGAAAGACCCUAUGAAGCUUUACUGUAACUUGAAAUUGAAAUUGGACUUUAUUCGCGCAGUAUAGGUGGGAGGCGUUGAUUAUAAUCUUGUGGGAUUAUUGGAGCCAUUAGUGAGAUACCACUCUUGUAAUGUUAGAUUUCUAACUUUGAAUCAUGAUCUGGUCAAAGAACAGUUUCAGGCGGGCAGUUUGACUGGGGCGGUCGCCUCCUAAAUGGUAACGGAGGCGUACAAAGGUUUCCUCUGAACGGGUAGAAAUCAUAUCUAGAGUGUAAAGGCAUAAGGAAGCUUGACUGUGAGACCUACAAGUCGAGCAGGGACGAAAGUCGGUCUUAGUGAUCUGACGGUACUGAGUGGAAAGGCCGUCACUCAACGGAUAAAAGUUACUCUAGGAUAACAGGCUGAUCUCCCCCAAGAGUUCACAUCGACGGGGAGGUUUGGCACCUCGAUGUCGGCUCAUCGCAUCCUGGGGCGGUAGUACGUCCCAAGGGUUGGGCUGUUCGCCCAUGAAAGCGGUACGCGAGCUGGGUUCAGAACGUCGUGAGACAGUUCGGUCCAUAUCCGGUGUAGGCGUUAGAAUAUUGAGAGGAGCCUUCUUUAGUACGAGAGGACCGAGAAGGACAUACCUCUGGUGUACCAGUUAUCGUGCCAACGGUAAACGCUGGGUAGCUAUGUAUGGAGUGGAUAACCGCUGAAAGCAUCUAAGUGGGAAGCCCACCUCAAGAUAAGUAUUCUC
rnacentral:rRNA from 1 species